AUAUCAAACUAAUAGGAUAGCAGCACUCCUUAGUGGGUUGGUGGCAUCCCUUUAGGAAUGCUCAGACUGAGCAACAAGAAACCAAAUAUGGCCUAACUAACACAAAUAUUAGUUGGUUUAAUGCAAUUGCAACAGCAAUUUUAGCUACGGUUACUACAACAAUAGUUGCAGCCAUAGUUACUGCAAUAGCAAGUGUAACAAUAAAUACCACGAUCAUAUGAAGAGUAGUAGAAGCAAUGAAAUAAUACUAUAGAAUUUAAAAAAUCUUCUCCACAGGCUUUCAAGGGAGGUACAGAAGCUUUUGAAGCUAAAAUUGCCUUAUGGAGAUGGAGAAAGUAUUUACUUUUAAGAGAUGCCAUAAUGAUGAAAAGAUCUUAUAUGCAAUGUAUAUGUUACAAGAUGAGACAUUCAAUUGGUGGC
rnacentral:lncRNA from 1 species